rnacentral:sRNA from 1 species
AGAUGAUAAUAAAAAAUGAGCUUCUGUGAUGAGACAAGACCAUGAUUAAUUCCCCACCUAUGGCCAGCACGAGAGAAUGAGAUUCUGAAUCU